AUGGAUCAGGACCAGACGCCGAUCGCGCUGGAGGACGGGUGGCGCGAGAUGGAGGCCGGCAUCGCCAGGCUCAAGCGCAUCCUCCACGGCGUCGACGGCGUCAGCUUCACCUCCAAGGAGUACAUCCACCUCUACACGAUGAUCUUCAACAUGUGCACGCAGAAGCCGCCGUACGACUACUCGGAGCAGCUCUACAAGCGCUACAAGCAGGCCCUCGAAGAGUACAUCAAAUCCGCCGUCUUGCCCUCGUUGAAGAGCAAGCACGGCGAGUUCCUGCUGAGGGAGUUGGUGGAGAGGUGGAAGAACCACAAGGUGAUGGUCAGGUGGUUGACCCGCUUCUUCCACUACCUCGACCGCUACUAUGUUUCGCGCAAGUUGCUUCUGCCGCUCAAAGAGCUCGGCUUGAGCUGCUUCCAUGAUCUAGUUUUCGACGGGCUGAAAACAACAUUGACGACGAUUGUUAUCGACAUGGUUGAUAAUGAUAGGGAAGGCCAGCUUAUAGACCGUGCUCUUCUGAAGGAUGUUGUUGGUAUCUAUCUCGAAAUUGGACAGGGUAGUGUCGGCCUCUAUGAGCUCGAUUUCGAGAAAGCUUUUUGCAAGGGUACCAAAGAUUACUAUUCUAAAAAGGCGCAAAUCUGGAUGUCGGAGGAUUCCUGCCCUGAAUACAUGCUCAAGGUCGAGGACAGCUUACAAAAAGAGAAAGAGCGAGUAGGCCAUUACUUGCAUGCUUCAACUGAAGAGAAAUUGCUAGAGGGUACUAUAUUGGAACUCAUAAGUUGGCGCGCAGAAGAAAUUUUGUAUAAGGAAAAUUCUGGAUGCAGAGUGUUGCUUUUAGAUGGAAAGUCUGAGGACCUAUCAAGAAUGUACAGGCUCUUUUCCAAGAUAGACGUUGGGCUUUUUCAUGUGUCGAAGAUAUUUAAGGAGCAUGUCAAGGAAGAGGGCAUGUCCUUGUUGAAACAUGCAGCAGAUGCUGCCAACGGCACAAAGAAUGAGAAGAAGGAAGCUGUGGGUUCGCCGGAGCAGGAAUUUGUGCGGAAAGCGAUUGAGCUCCACGAUAAACAGCUAGCAUAUGUCACCGACUGUUUCCAAAACAACUCAGCAUUUCAUAAGGCUCUUAAGGCGGCUUUCGAAGACUUUUGCAACAAAGAUGUUGCUGGUUGCACAAGUGCUGAGUCGCUCGCAUCAUUCUGCGAUAGCAUCUUGCGGAAAGGUGGAAGCGAAAAGCUAAGCGAUGAAGUCGUAGAAGAUACCCUUGAUAAGGUUGUGACCAUUCUCUCAUACAUCAGUGAUAAGGAUCUCUUUGUUGAGUUUCACAGGAAGAAGCUUGGAAAGAGAUUGCUCUUUGAUAAGAGUGCCAAUAACGAACACGAGCGAAGCCUCCUUUCCAAGCUCAAGCAGUACUUUGGGGGACAGUUUACUGCAAAAAUGGAGGGCAUGCUCACUGACGUGUCAACAGCAAGAGACCAUCAGACAGCGUUUGAAGAGUACAUGAGAGACAAACUACCAAAUCAUCGUGUAGACUUCAGUGUUACUGUUCUGACGACAGGAUUCUGGCCAAGUUACAAAACUUCAAACAUAAAUCUACCUUCCGAGAUGAUUAAAUGCGUCGAGAUUUUCAAAGAUCAUUACAAUUCGAAACAGAAAUCCAGAAGGCUCACUUGGAUCUAUUCCAUGGGAAAUUGCAAUAUCGUUGCAAAGUUUGACGCUAAACCUAUCGAGCUUAUUGUUACAACAUAUCAGGCUGCGAUGCUUCUGCUAUUCAACGGAUCUGAACGACUAACUUACUCUGAGAUUGUGACACAACUAAAUCUGCCCGAUGAUGACGCCGUGCGCCUGCUCCAUUCACUCUCAUGUGCAAAGUAUAAGAUUCUUAACAAAGUGCCAAGCAACCGAACAAUUUCUCCAAGUGACGUCUUUCAGGUCAACCACAAAUUUACCGACAAAAUGAGGAGGAUAAAGGUACCACUUCCUCCGACCGACGAGAAGAAGAAGGUUGUCGAGGAUGUCAACAAGGACAGGAGGUUCUCAAUCGAUGCGAGCAUUGUGCGCAUCAUGAAGAGCCGCAAGGUCAUGGGCCAUCAGCAACUCGUUGCGGAGUGCGUUGAGCAGCUCAGCCGCAUGUUCAAGCCUGACAUCAAGAUUAUCAAGAGGAGGAUCGAGGAUCUUAUCAGCAGGGAAUACUUGGAACGAGAUCUGGAGACUGCAAACACCUACAGAUACUUAGCUUGA
rnacentral:rRNA from 1 species